CCUUCAUGUAAGAAUUACAAACUUUUUACCCAAACAUGUUUGUUGGCCAAAUUCAAAAUUAGCUAUGAAAAUAUGCGAAACAAAUUUUUUCUACGAAGGCGCUUUCUUAGAAAAGUUUAAAUAUGCAGAAAAUCCUUUCCGCUCAUUGGCUGUAAUUUUGUGCGCCAUUUUUAAUUUAUUUCUAGAAGACUAAACUACAGUGCGAAAGGUUAGAAACAUUGCUAAUGGCUCCUGCAACUUUUAAAAGCUCGGGAAAUGUAAAUUAUUCUAAACUGAAAUGGGAAGCAGACUAUUUUCAUGCCCAAGUCAAGGGAUUGCUCUGACUGACCCAAGGUCAAAACACGUGGGAUAGAAUGCAGCAAAGGUUUAUGGAGCGAGAAUCGAAAGUUCCUGCUGCUUCUCCCAUGAAUCCUGUAACAAUUGAUCUCAUUGGCGAGCAAUCUGCUGUUUCAAGAUUCACCUUUCCAUGGCCUUUUUCCCGAAGUCGUUCAUGGAGAUUUAGCGUUAUCCAAAUGUUUGCUCGGAUAUUUACUCGCAGGAACAGACGGAUUUACAAUUGUUUGCCACGGUUAAAAUAGUAUACAGAUGCCAAUCUGCUUUGAGAGGAAUGAAAUAUCUGACAAGAGAAUAAAAAUAUGCCCCAUUUAAAUAAAAGACGCUGUUGGUUGACGAGUAAUCAAAGAAGAAGCUAUAAUAAAUAUUUGGGUUGUAUGAUUUUUUUUAACUAUCAACUUUGUUCUGGGUGUAAAGGUUGGAAGUGAUAGCAUUCGGGAUGAGAAAUGAAAAACUGGUGGGUAUUCCAAGUACUUUUGUCAGGCACAAUCUGUGGUAAAAUGUUUGCUUUUUUAAAACCACCGUUAUAAGACAUGGUAAAAAUUUUGUUGCAACUCAAGCAAACAAUGGUAUCAGGAUUACACAAAAAAGGUGCUGAUAAUAUAUGUUUUCUUCAAAUUCUACUUAACUUAAGGCUAAAGUUGACUUACCUCAAUUGCAUAAGCAGGUGGAUGCUCAUAUGACAUGUUACCAGGGGUGUUGCCUUUCACUGCCCAUCCAAAGCCAUUCAGUCUGCCAUCGUUGUACAAGAGGAAAACCGGUAAGAAAUCUUCGUACUUCAUAUAUGAUGUAACAUUGUACCAAUAAUGCGUGCCUAUGUAGGGAUGGCAAUAGUGAAUUAAGGAUGAUUCUGAUUUAUUUUGGAAUUAAUCUCGUUACAUUUACUUUGAUGAAGCCUAGUAUGCUGAGGCGAAAUAUUAGUAUAAAUGUAAUUUAUUUUAAAAGUCUAUUUUUUUAACAUUAGAUUCUAGUCGUCAUUUUGCAUUUUUCUAGUCUAUUGCCUUGUAUCAUAUCAUUUCUAACUGCAAGAUUAAGAGAAUGUAGCGGACAGCCUAUUCUGCGUUUCUUCCAUCUUAUUAUUUAGGUUUCCUAAAUGUACCGUUGUAGGUGAGUAUUAUUGCAAGAAUCGAAAAACUUUGUGUUGUAUUUUAGAUCUAUAAAUAGAUAGGCAAAUUCCAAAAUUUGCCAGAAAGAGAGUUCUUAAGUGUGACGACACAAUAAUACUUUCUUAGAGUGUUUACCUUUUACCACAUAGCCUGAUUAAUUCAUGAAAUCUCAGCAAAAUUGGUUGUAAUGUGACUAGUUAGAAGACUGUUUUAGUUUGAUGUUUGACUUGAUGAAGCCAACAUUUGAAUUUUGCUAACAAAUUGGUGUUAUUUUGGCAUCUUUAAAUCAAGACAAAAUUCCAAAAAAGAAGUCUGUGCGCAUAUAACGAAAUCUCAGCCAGUUUAAAACACACUUGACUGGUUUGAAACAAGUUUAAAAAAAUUGUGAUGGUGCUCUUACAGGUUAUGCAGUCCAAUUUCAAAAAUUGUAUAAAUAUAUAUAUCUAUAUAAAUUGAAUCUACAUUUACUAAACUAGCACAGUAAACUUGAGAAAUCUUCAGCUCAGAUGUCACAUAGCCUCAAACAAUUUUUGACCAAAGUCUGGAAUUUUGCUAUAAUUAUUUUGAUAAUUGUAUGCUUGCUAACGUUAAAUUGGGUCACCGUCUAUUAACCCUUUGUAAAAACAUUUAGUGCAAACAAUUUGCAUCGGAUUUCAUCCUUGGUUUUUUAACACUGCUGUACAUAUUAUUAUGGUAUUUAAUCAUUUUUCCUAUCUCGAUUUUUUAUUUUUGUUUUUCAAUUGUAACUUACCCAUUCCAUUAAAACAAUGGCCAAUGACCCAAUUUGUGUUCUUCAAAUUCUGCUGAAGCAAUGGUACUUUGAGCACGUGAUUCUUAUUGGAUCCGACUUGGAUGUAAAGCGAAUUGCCAAUGCAGUGUCUUUCUGAAGGCGCCUUGUCCCAGCAUAUGUUUUCUGGCUGAGUGAAGUAAGCUGUUAAAUGGUACCUCGUAUUCUCUUCUUGGAACAUUUCCUUGUAGUGUUUUGGAACCUCGAUUGUAUUUGGAAACUGCAUGAAAUAAGCAUCAAGAUAGCUAACAUCGCCAAGCCAUACUGCCAAAAGUUCCUUUUUUCUCGGAGCUGACACACUUUUUUUCGAAUUAUAACUUCUCAUUACAAUGUAUACCCAAACAUAUAUAAAAUUAUUGGCAAUGUGAUGAAGGCCUAUCGCAAAAUGAAGUGGUAAAUUAAAUCUUCCAUGACAAUUUUUUAAAGUUUUGGCAAUAAAUGCCGUCAUUUCAGCCACUUCACAACUAAAUAUUAUUUCUCUUGUACCAAAAAUCAGCAGUACACAAAAGUCCUGACAGUAACUAACAAACUUUCACAAAAAUUUGUCUAAUGUCCCAAUAGAAACUUUAAAAAGGUUGGGAAAGCUAGAUAUUAGAACCAUCUUUGUUUCUUCAAAAGCUUUAUUUUAGAUAUUGGCAUUCUGUUUUUUGUUUAUAUGUGAAAAAGUUAGCUUUUUUCAGCAUUUUUGUGAGUUUUCAAGUUUAUACCAUAUAUUUUAGCAGUUUUUAUUGAACUUUAGCGUUAACGAAACUGAGAUGUUUUGGUUUACUAUAGAAAUUGUCAUUCAAAUCAUACAAAAUGUUUGCAAAAUCUUAACAAAAUCAUACGAAAAUCUUACCCAGGUUUACUUCCUGUCUAUUUGCUUUACUGUAAUCAACCUUUAUCAAUCAAUCAAUCAAUCAAUCAAUCAAUCAAUCAAUCAAUCAAUCAUACCAAUCAAUCAAUCAAUCAAUCAAUCAAUCAAUCAAUCAAUCAAUGUUUUGGCUUACUAUAGAAUACUCUGUCUCGAAUUCCUUUUUGGUCUUCCAAAAUGAUUCUUUAAGAAAGAGCAAGGCUUGUUGACCGUACUGUAAGAUCUGGAAAUUCUACAUUUGCUGGUCAGUUUCUUUAAAGUGCCAUAUGUUGCUAGAUAGUGCCAGUGGCUUAGGUGUUUCAAAGUAGGUAGACGUUCUGGCAAACAUGUGAAUUGUUUUUUUAUGAAAAUUAAAUAAAAUGACCAGAGGUUCAAAAAUUCUUAAAAUGUUAACAUGAUGUCCGUUGAGGUAUCUUAUCAACAAAAUCCAAUUUUUAGUAUUUGUCUCUACGUUUUUCUUUUUUUUAUAUCUCAGCUUUUACUAGCAUCAUAGAUAUGAGAAAUGCUGACGUAUCCAGCAAAUUAGUACAAACCACCGACUGAAUUCCAGCCAAUUUGUUGUUUUCGCCAAAAAGAAUGUAUGGCAUUUCUGAUCCUGGAAGCUCCCAACGUUUGCCAACGAAAUAAGAAUGAUCUACAAAACAAAAAUUGUUCUAAGCAAAAAAAUUGUGAUUGCUAAUUAAAUGGAAGAGACUGCAUGACAGCGACUUUUUUUAGAUUUAUGAAAUUUUGUGAGAAACAAUGUAAGUUUUAUGUUUCGCUUCUUUUUAAUCUAGUACGAGGUUGGUUAAGUGGGGAUGGAUCAAAUGUGCUUUUAAAAGAUGUGAACUGGUAAUUCAUACCUAGAUCAUACCAAAGCUGGAAUCUAUUUUUAUCUUAUCAAAUUGUCAUUCAAAUCAUACAAAAUUUUUGCAAAUUCUUAACAAAAUCAUACGAAAAUCUUACCCAGGUUUACUUCCUGUCUAUUUGGUUUACUGUAAUCAACCUUUAUCAAUCAAUCAAUCAAUCAAUCAAUCAAUCAUACCAAUCAAUCAAUCAAUCAAUCAAUCAAUCAAUCAAUCAAUCAAUCAAUCAAUCAAUCAAUCAAUCAAUCAUAAUCAUUUCUAAAAAGCCAGGAAGACCCAAUUCAUUACCUUUACAAGACCUUGCAUCUUUCUUUACCCAUCCUUGCUCUACUGCUUGUUCGAUUGUUAUUGGAAGGUUCAUCCGAUUUGGAAAUUUGACUAGAACAUAUCAAAACAGUGGUACUUCAGUGAAUUGUCGAGAUCCUUCGUUUAUCUAUUAUUUUCUUUUUCAUUAUUUCUAUUGUAUUUCUUGUAGAUCUGCAAACUUGAAAUUAAGAGAAAAUGUAAGGGAUCCAGAAACAGGGAACUACAUGUAAACAUCAUGAGUAGCUUGGUGUAUGAAAAAAUCUGUACAUAAGUAAACAUUGAGAGGUCUCUCAUCUCUAAUGUAGGUUUUCAAGUUUUCAAUUCUCUGCUAGAGCUUAAUUUCGUGUUAAAUGUUUAUGAAAUGGGUCAGUGUUGUGGCCAGUGCCAGCUUAGCUCAGAAAAUUGCAUUUACGUUGGCGUUCAAAAAAGUUGUUUCGCUUUAAUCGUAUGUAUGCACAAAGGGGUUCAUUUGCCUAUUUUCUGUAAGUGAAUUGACGAGGUUGUGCUAGUGUAGAAAAGAAUUUGAGAAAAUUUAAUUCGAGAGUAAUUUUAAUGAGGGACAAGAUCUGACAAGACCAGGGCAGGACUCGAACCCUCUACCAAUAACAAUGUACGUCGUUGCUCUUCACUGAGAAAUUUUACGUACAAGGUUACCAGUCCUGGUCAUCCAUUAUCUGGGGCAAAAAGGCAUCGACUUUGGUCAAUUCUUUUUAACGGGUUGUGCAGAGCAUGACUGGUAAAAGAAAUUUUAUCCAUGCAGAGUCACAUUGCUUUUGUUUAAAUUUAAGUACAAAUUAAUUGCUUGUAAAAUUUCCACUAUGAUAAAGUAAGUAAUGGGGUUGAUUUAAAAGGCCCUUUCCUUGCCUUGCAGUUGAACAAGGUUGACUCGUUUUAAGUAUUUUGUUAAAGAAUCAGUUGAAGCGAAUGCUGUUAGAAAUAUUUACACAAAAAAGAAUACUGAGUUUAGAUCGCAGUAUUUGAGGAUUUGGCAGGUCCUCUUUAAGCUUUGUUGGUUUGUCUCGAAGUCGCAGAACUAAAAUUAUGCAGAUGGCUCAGUGGUUAGAGUCGCUGACAACAGUUCCAAGGGUAUGUGGUUUGAGUACCUGAUAUGAUUUUAAAUUUUCCCUGAGGAGUUUGGAGAGUCUCCAGCCCUCUGUUAUUCCAUGCGUUGAACUCAUAAGGUGUGGUCACAUCGCGAGGAUGAACCAGGACACUGCUCGAUAAGUCCAGCUUCUCAGUGUCGUGAAAUUUACUUUUCGAAAACUUUCCAGUAUCAAAAAUAAACAGAGACCUCAUUAACACUUGUCACUUAACUGCUUUUUUCUCUUGGAACAAGAUACGAAUUCAAAAUUUACUAACUCUGAAACGUACCUGACAAGGCAUCCCAAUCAUUUAUACCUAAAAUGAGAAAAAAACCAAAUGUUUUUGGAUCCAAACAAUCAACAUGUAAGCAGUAGAGGUUUUUAUGCCAAUAAGAAAACUAGUGGGAAAGUUUUUCUUGCAAUGUUAUUCAACAAGGCCAGGAAUACAUAGCCCUAAAGCCAUACCAGUAACUUUCAAUAUCUGAAGGGCUUUUUGCUCUCUGAAAAGGAGUUUAAUCGUUUGUGAAAUUCGCCCAGAAGAUGGAAAGCCACUUUUCUGGACGCACAAAUAUGAUCCCAAUGAUGACGUCAUAAAAUUUAAAUUAAAUUUCCUGAAGUUGAAAAAUAUUAUCUUAAAGGGAAUGAACGGAUACAAAAAUAGGCGAAACUACACAUCUAUUGAUAGGCGACCAAUCAUGAUAAAAUUUCCCCUUGUCAAACACUGUAUCCAGAUUUGUUCUAUGAUAUAGCUUAAUGCCAUUUCAAAUUGAAUAGAGUUUGAAGUUAUUUUUAGAAAAAUGGGAGAAAUGUCCGUUGAUUCUCUUUAAGGAACACCAUAAAUACCACUAAAUGUAUGAAAUGAAUUAAAUCUGCUCAAAGCUGUUUCAGGUAUGGCGAAACAAGCACAGGAUUCUUCCACAUCAAACCAGUGUACAUGAAACCACUGCGUUCUAAAUCUUAUGAACCAAGCCAAAACAACUGUAACCCAUGUGCAAAACUCGCAACCUUUACUAACUGACCAUAUUUUAGAAUAUAUUUAGCUGAUAUUAAAGUUUUACACCGUGUCUCUUUGACAGUGUGGUCAAAAUUCUAUGAAAUCAAAAAAUCUCGUUAACCUAUGCAAUGUUAAUUGGCGAUGUUAAUUUGUUUUUAGUCGUAGAAUCUUUCAUUAUAAUUCACCGAAAUUCCAGUAAAGAGAGCUUUCUCUCUUCGAAAACGUUCUGCAAAUCGCAGAAAAGCACUCACUAUCAAACAAAGAGGCACAAUAAAAGUGAUUUCCUUUUCCAUGGUACCGUGCUAUUUUUGUUGCUUUCUUCAAUCUUCUAUAGAAAGUGGUGAAGGUUUUAACAUAGACAGGUAUGAUAUGAGCGUUCCUUUCUUUCGUUUUGCAGGGCAAGCAAAGUUCUGUUAGCUGCAAUCGUUUACUAUUAUCGCAAAAGUGUUGUGAAUCAGCUCCGUUUCUCGUGAACGGAGUUUUCCUUCUGCCUUUCAUCUAUUUUAUUACACUGGCUUCGCUAUGGAUGGAAAAGCAUCGUCGUUAUCACAUAGCUUAAUUGAAGCAUUGUUGCGUAUCACGUUUGUCGCUUGCUACCUAUUAACACAGUCGCUAAGCAAGGGCGUCAUUUUAAAGUGCUAUGAGAUAAGCGCACUUUAUCCGUAACGAAAUGCUUGCUGACAUUAUCUUACCUUUGCAUUUGUGUUUUUAAGCAGCAGUAAAGCUACUUUUUACUAACUCUGUCAUUGGAGCUGUUUGAGCGCUAUUAUGAAUUGAAAAUGUUUGACACAAAGGUCAAGGCACCAGUGAGUCCAAUACAUGCUUAGAGGAAAUGCCUGUUAGAGAGAACACGUGUCCUGGGCAACUUCAUGAUAAGGUAGAUUCGCCAUUUCCUAUCUUUGCGGCUUAUCGCUUCCGAAUAUGACUAUGGGUACAAUUUGCUGCUUUUGGACAAAAGACGAACGUCUAGACAAACAAGACAAGUGCUGAACAUUGUAUGAACAUGAAGAUGGCACGAAAAAGAGGAAAUGUAUCACCCUUCAAAGUUAUAACGUCAGACAAAAUAAAACAACAAAAACAAACUAACCAAUCAAACGCGUCUUUCUUUAUCUCACGUUACUUUCGAUCCACACCUUGAUAUAAAUUUCCGCUUACCUUCGGUCAUUGUCCGACGUCAAUAUUCUGAAGAUUGUCAGACGAAAUGAACUUCAGUAAUCAAUGCUAUGUUCCCGCUAUUUCGUGGUAUCUUUUGCGGUACCAAAAACUUUUUUUCUUUAAGAACAGUUCUUUCAAUUAUUGCUAAUUCUAGCUAUUUUUAUCACAGUUAUUCGUUAAUUAUGUAACACAAAAAGAAAAAAAAUGUGCAAUCGCGGCUUCCUUGAUUAAGGAAAGUUGAAGUGUAGCUUUUCAUAGAUACUGGAAUAGCCAACAAUAGAAUCUUGAAAAAGCCAAUCAAACAACACGUUUUGUGCUUAUAAUUAUGCUUCUAUAAAUAAUGCGUUUUAUGCUUUUAUAUAAUUUAUGUAAAACUAUAAAAUGACAACAGUUGAGGACAACAGCUAUGCUGGAAUAAGGGGAACCAAACAUAGUAGUUUAAUUUGAAAAAACCUUUCAUUUCUAUCGUUGUUAUGAAAAUACGUUAGCUGGGUUUGACAAGGAUGUAUUCUAGGUACACUUAUGUUGGAAAGUGCCAUGACUGAAAAGUUGACGUUUGCAGGUUCGAAUCAAAGUUCGACUUUUGGUCUAGACGUUCAUCUUUUGUCCAAAAGCAGAAAAUUGUAAGAUAUAUAGGAACAAAGCAAUACGACGACGAUAAUCCAAUGUCACGAGAUAAAAUUUUCAAGAUAAAUUAAAUUUAAAGAAUAUACUAAUAUUUCGCCCCGGCAUACAGGGCUUUAUCUUUCAUAACAACACUCAUUGCAAGAUUCACAGAAUCCGGCGGACAGCCUAUCCUGCGGUUCUUCCUUCUCAUACAGAAAAUUGUACCCAUACUUGUACGUGCGUUGGCGAUAAGCUGCAAAGAUAUGAAUCGGCGAAUCAACCUUAUCAUGAAGUUGCCCAGGACACGUGUUCUCUCUAACAGGCAUUUCCUCUAAGCAUGUAUUGGACUCAUUGGUGCCUUGACGUCUGUAUCAAACAAUUUCAAUUCAUAAUAGCUCCCAAAUCAUGCAUUUUGGUUGGUAAAAAAAGAGAGAACAUCAAUCGAGUUAUGGUAUACAAAUCAUUGACGAUUUUUUUUUCAUUGCUUCAGAUCCAAUGUAUCUAUUCUAAAUAACCACCCUCUUAAAUUCUUGUUACCUAUGGAAACUUGAAUUAAAUGACAAAUCUUAUACGUACAACGGUUUGCUUGACUGCUUCCCCCAACUGUUUCUGUUAUCGCAACCAUAAAGACGAUGAUUGCACCCAGCGCCAUCUUGCUAGCUUGCCUUCUGCUGUAUAAUCAACCUGCACUCUGAUCUUAUACUGUAGCAUCAACAAAAAGAUUAGUACUUCUUUUAUAAACACCAGAUAUCAAGUAAUUUUGGUGGUCUAGCCGGGGGUGCUGCCUUUAUGCAUCAAGAACCGUCUGAGAUAUUUAGGGCAUAGACAAGUGCAAACUAACCCUAGGAAUUGAAGAGGGUUAAAAGCAGAAGCGGACUGGCCCACCGGGACACCGGGAAAUUUCCCGGUGCGCCCUCUGCCCCAAGUUAUUUUUUUCAAAAACAAGAAAACUUUCAAAAUGCAACUAAUUUUCGCAGAGAACUAAAAUUGACUACAAUCAUCAAUUGCCCAAAGUACGUUUGCAUCAAAAGUUUAGCUUCACCUUUAAGUUGAGCAAUAUUAAGAUUGAUAGCAAAGUUUCCCAAUCUGCCAAUUCUGCAAGAUUUUCUGAAAACCUUGUAAAGAACAUAUUUUGCUUUGAAAAUGACUUUGAUAAAAGAAAUUUUCUUAAACAUACUAGAAGCUUUUUUGUCUGAAACUCCUCAGAGUAUAAAACGUCUUGUAAUUUGGUUAACUUGUUAUUUUUUCAAGCAAGUGCACAAUAUUUGAAUUAAUUCAAUUUCUGUUGAGGGGGUAGUAGGGAUUUUCACUAGUUAACUAGCAGACUAUUUGCCAAUUGACUGAUGACUAAUAAUUUUGUGAAACCAAUGACUUCUGACUAACAAUAUUAGUUUUUUGACUUAUGGCUGAUGCAAAUUAAUCCUAGUGCCUGAUAUCCAAUAACUGACGGCUCGCGCUUUGAAAAAAAAUUAGCUGAGCACUACCAUGUGUUCUUUCUAGUCAGAAUGGCUGUAACUGGAUAAAACUAUCGAUGUGUUGGCUAUUGGGUACGUUCACAUAUUAUGUAAUCAAAGAUGGGGAGGGGGGAUUUACAUAAACUUUAUGGCUAUUACGGUCUACCUAAAUCUUCUGGGCUACCUAAACCUCCCCAAUUUUUUUGGUUCAAAGACCCACCUUUACACGCAUAUUAACACUGUUGGGAUGAUUUUUCACUAACUAAUGGAGUUAUUGUCAAGCAUCUUAAUAAGGAGGGGAACUACCCCAGUAAUGCUUUUGUCAUUCCUGUUUCCCUCUGUAUUGAUAGGUAUUCAUAGUAACACUUUUUCUGGCCAUUUGGGGGUAAAACGGACGUUAUCACGAGCCAGAAGCCGAUUUUACUGGCCUCGAAUGACCAUCCAAAUUAAGGAAUUCAUUGUCUCACACAAGUCUCACACAACAGCUUAUCACCCCCUAUGUGAUGGUGUCGUAGAGAGACAAAAUCGUACAUUACAAGACAUGCUCUCUACUUUUGUGUCUAAGCACAAGGACGACCGGGACCUGUGGGUUAAUCUGGCCGUUUUCGCAUAUAACACAAGUCGCCACGAUUCCAUCGGUUUCAGUCCCUAUGAUCUUGUAUUUUGGAGAGUUGCUAGAACACCAGUUGAGGUUGAUCUAGGUUUGCCAGUAAAAAAUCCAGCUAUUCAGUAGAUCUACCCAACAUGAAACAGGCCCUCCUCAAUCUACCUGGGUACCCCUGCGUGUAGGCCAGUUUGUCUGGCUGCAUCACCCCCAAGACAUGGAAAUUCGGAAAACGCUGGGUAGGCUCAUACAUAAUUUUAGAAAGAACUGGGGUCAAUUAUAAAAUUAAGUCUAAAUAUGGUAACAUGCUGUUGUUCACCACAACAAUGUUAAGUCUUGCUCUGUACCUUUUACAGAAGGUGAACCCACUUACCCGGUCAAGGAACUGCCAGGUAUUGAGUUUUUACCUGGGAGUGUUGAAAACAACACAGAAAAUGUUGGAGAGCCAGAAGAAAACCGUGACCUUCAGCUUUUCCGUCGUCCAGCCCAUUUAAGUAACCCUGUGACCUGGUAUGGCCUUUAUGCUGGUGAUGUUAUCGUGAAGAAAAAAGUGCUUUUUUGAACAAACGGCAACUGUUAAAGCUAUUACUGAAGAAUUUUCCUGAAGGAGCAUGUCUGGUUCUUGCGUCAACAAAUGCAGGCUGUUGGUCAUUUCAUGUACAAUCAUAACCGUAGUUCAUGAAAAGGCUUAUCACGACCAUGCCUACUUUUGGUAACUAUUUUGUUACUAUUUGUUACUAAUUGUAUCCUCUUGUCUCUCUUUUGUUUUGGAGUAAAUUCACCACUUUUAAAAAGGGUUUUCUCCAAUGUGAUUAUCUUCAAAUUCAAAUAAAAAAGUGAUAUUUGUUUAAACCGGUAGGUGGGAUUUACGAGGGUUGCUUUGGACAGAUCAGGGUAGAUGUGCAUAAUUGCCGCCUUUUUAAAAUAUAAUGUGUGAGAAGGAAGAACCGCAGGAUAGGCUGUCCACCGGAUUCUGUGAAUAUUGCAAUGAGUAUAAUAAACAUACGAGGAUAAUUUGUUUCUGAAUUUUAUCCUUGUAUUUCUAAAAUCUGUCUGUUCUACUGAUAUUACUGAACAUUUAUCAUAGUAACACACUCAAUGCAUAUUAUUCUACAUACCGUUUUUAGCAUUAUUCCUUAUGAAAAAUUACUUACAGAGUAAUUCAAUCUAUUUUAGGACAACAACGCUUCUAAUCUAUGUCACAAUGUAAAGUCAAAAAUAUCAAAACCAUAAGAAAGAUAUAUUUAAUUACCAUCGC